CAAUUACAUGUAUCAUUUUUGACAUUCACUUGACAUACUUGAUAAACCAAUUCAACAUGUCCUGAUGAGCCUCUUCUGCAUUCUUAACUGCAACUUCAUCUUCAACACUGUAUCUCAAUGUCCAUCCAUGACUAACACCAGGGUACAACUUCACAAUGCUUUCUAACUGUCAUAGCAUACAUAACUUGAAGUCUUAAGUUUUGAAAGGAAAUUUCAUUAAGAUAAUCAACAAACAAUUCUUCCAUAGUUUCUCUCACCUUUGCUUUUGCAGACAAUAAUUCUUCAGUUUUCUUCAACCUUUCUUGUGGGAAAAUAGUAUCAAUUUCAGCUCCCAAUAAAGCAAUAGGGACUUUCACAUCUGAAGAAAAACAAAAUAAAGUUUGUGGAUGCUAGAAAAGUACAAGCUUCAACACACAAUAUUUGAUAACGAAAUUCAGUUAAGUGUGCCUACGGGGCUAUGGCUAAAAAGGUACAAUACCUUUCUAUUAUUUUAAGCUUAGAGUUUACGGUAUGCAACUUGUAUUUUAAUACUACGAUCGAGCUAUUGAUAACUAUAAGUAAAUAAACAAUAGUGGAUAACUGCUAUAAUAAUUUAUUUAAC
rnacentral:lncRNA from 1 species